rnacentral:lncRNA from 1 species
UUUUUUUUCAAAACUGGUUGACUGGUUUGGGUUUUGUUGUUCUUUGACAAAACAAAAAUCUCUGCUUUCAAAAUGAUUGUUAACUGUUAUGGCAAACUCAUUGUGGCAUCUAAAAAUUCACAUUUCCUUUUAUGUAUAUAUUCUAGCACUAAGUGCUGCUCGGUGUGGGUUAUAAUUAAGCCAGAAACAAAGCUGCUUUUAAAGUAAGUGUUUUUGUAAAGCAUAGUAUUACUGUAUGGACCAGCAUUAUAAUUGUGUAGGGUUAAGUGCUUUCAGUCAUAUGGCACUUGCUCUCCCAGUGUGGGAGUUUGGAGCAACUCCUUUGAGCAAACAGAUAGUCUGAUCUCUGACCUGAGCUAAUCAGGCACAAAUUUGGCAUGUCAGAAGCCUGUCUUCACGUCCUGCGCCUCCACUUCUAUUUAUAUACUCCCUGAACCUAGAUUUUCCCUUUCUUGCCUUUAGUCUGUGUGACAUCUGAGUUCAUCCAUUCUCUCUUAAAUUGAAACAUUAUGACAUCAACACCCUCCCCCCCAAAAAGGUCUUGUUGAAAUCUGAUUACAUAACCAGAUUAACCCCAGAGGUUAAGACCUGCCACCUAGUGUUGCUAGUCCAAAAAAAAAAAGUAGGAUUGUUUAUUUUUGAGAGCAGUUCUUUUAGCUUCAGGUCUUUACCGUUGCCUUAUAAUUUAGUGGUGACAAUGAUGCAUUGAUUUGAGACAUUUCAGGAAUGUACAUGUUAAUACCUGUUGCAGCACUGGAAUUGAACAAGAUGAUAGUAACAGAAGAUGUACCAACCCACACUUAAAAAGGAGAACACCGUGUUUUUAGAAAAGGGCGCAGCGGUGCUUAUCCGACAGUUAUCUGUGUUUUCUUUGUAAACAGCUUAUUCGCUGUAGGGUUGGUAUUGGGAUGUGGGAGAUUAGCUUUCCAUCAAGACUAAAGGAAAAGCUCCAAUGAAGGAAGGAGUUUGUGGGGUCCUAGGAGAAGCUUAGGGCGGUUGCUUUUCUUUGUUAGCCUUUGUGCUGUGUGGCCUUGCCUGUUUGUUUUCCAUAUUUCGCAUCUGAACAAGCCUCUUUUGAUUUCUUGCAGGACGGCGACCAACAGUUCCAGCAGACCCAGGCCUGGGGAAAUCAUUAACCAAAAACAAAGCACAACAGGACACUGGUGGGUCUGCGGUAUUGCGCCGGUCAUGUGGGGAUUGGGGGUGACCGCCGGUCGCUGCAGGAGUGAGUUAGCUGGAGAAGGCACAAUAUUUACCUCAUCUGUUCAAAUGAUGGCGUGUUGAGAGGAAGGCAUGGCAGCAUGACGUUUACUAAAGCAGGAUGGAACGAGACCCUGAGGCCUCACAGACUCUCCCAGCCGUGACUGUUUGUCUGAGAGAGCGCUAACUCCCAUGAACGAUAUACACUUGACAGAAAGCCACUGCCUUUUUGCUGUGUGUGUGUGUGUGUGUGUGUGUGUGUCUAUCUGACUCUAAUAAGCAGCUACUUCCUCUUGUACGAAACCAGAGUCAUAGAGAGUGCUGAGGAAGAAUGGAACCUAUUCAGCUGCACCACUUAAUCAGACUCUCUCAGCCGUGAGAGAGCGCUAACUCCCACUGAACGAUAUACACUUGACAGAAAGCCACUGCCUUUUUGUCUGUGUGUGUGUGUGUGUGUGUGUGUGUGUCUAUCUGACUCUAUAAGCAGCAUUCCUCUUGUGAAACCAGAGUC